rnacentral:lncRNA from 1 species
GAAUUAAUGUAACAGCCAAAAAUAAGCUGAAUUUUUCAGCUCAUUUUUAUUUUGAAUCAAACAAGAGCGGGCUCAAACUAUUUUUAAGUCAAUUCAGAAGUGGCCUUUUCUAGCUCAUGUUUGACUCGUUGAAAGCCCUAAUAUCUCUAUAUCCAUCUUUCCACAAACUCAUCCCAAAGUCCACACCAAAUUAAAUUUCUUAAUUUUAGUUUUGUGAAUUAUAUAUGCACAUUCAUUUAGUAAAAAUACAAGUUCUAGAUAAAUUUUUAACAAAAUCAUUUAAAAUUUAAACAAUUUAAAUUAUUUUUUAGGUAAAAAGAAAAAAGUUUAAAGUAAGAGUUUAAAAAAAGUUAUUGGGUUGUGCUGGCCCAAAUGGCACAUCCAACAUGGGCCAUACCAUGCCAGCGGGCUGCGAACCAGUCACUACACGGGUUAGGAAUGCCAGUAGGUACGAAUAUCCAAAAUUUUAUUCGAAUCCAAAUCUAAACGGGGUAGAUAUAUUCGAUACUAAAUGGAUAUAGUAUCGGAUACAAGUCUAAAAAAUCAAAAUCUAAUGGAUUUGAAUUCAAGUAUAGAUUUUGAUUUUUUCUAUAUCCGACCAGAAACCGAACUAGAUCUGAACCUAAAUUAAUUAACAUUAUAUAAAUAUAUGUGAAUGUUUGAUGUUAUAUUUGUAUUUGUAUUUUAAAAAUUUAGAUUUAAUGUAAUACUAGUGGAGUUACCCGCGCAUUGCGGCGGGCUGAUACUGUAAGAGACAGAAGAUUGACAAACUAAAAUAUUUUAAAAUUUUUUCACUUGUCAUGAGAAAUCAACAAAUACGAAUAAAAGAUAUAGAACGGAUUUAGCAAAAUUUAUAAUUUUAGCAAAUAAAUUACACGCAAUAAUAAUAAAAAAAACAGCAAUAGAACACUACUCCAUAUACACCUUAAUUGUGUUGCUGAUAUCGGAAAGGCGAAUCUUGAUCUCCACUUCUCAUUCGCCGCCAUUGUCAGCGUCGAGUUCCUCUUUAAUCACGGUAAUACAUAUCUUAUUUUAUUUAUUUUUUAUAAUAUUUAUUUGUUUAAAUGACAAUGAAUGUGAACAUAUUAAUUGAGAAAUGGACACGUGGGAAGACGAAAUAUCAUGCGGAUAUAAAAGAUAAUAAAUUCGAUCAUUAGGAAUUAGCAAGAAGGCAAGAAUGGGAGAUGAAGGUAAGGAUGAAGGAGACUUUGCCAUAUGGCAAAGUUUAUGAGGAAUAAUGAAUAAAUAAAUAAAAAUAGAAGAUAUAGAUAUAGAUGUGUUGAAAUACAGUAAAGAUAAAUAAUUAUUUCGGGUUCGGAUUUUUAGAUUCAAAUUCGGGUUUCAAUUUUUUUGCUGAAUUCAAAUUUGAAUAUGGAUUUUCAAAAUCCGUGGAAUAUGAUGAGUGAAUUGGACAAAUAUAUAUAAACAUUAUUUUUCACAUCUUAGCUUACCAAACCUUCAUCAUGUGUACUUAAUGAAGGACAAAUGAAUAUUUCAUUUCAAUAAAUUAUUUUUAGGCAAAGUCUUCUUAAAGUACAUACAUGUUUAACAUGAUAUAAUUUUUUUCAUUAUAACUAUUAGCUAUUCAAAUUCCUAUAAAGCCAUUAUAGCUAAUAGUUCCUUUGUAGUUUGGAAAUCAAAAUUGUCUAUAUUAAAAGAGAGAUGGAGAAAUAUUUGCAUUGUCAAAAUAAGUAAACAAUAUUAGCAAAUUUUUAUCAAAAUAUUCAUACCAAAAUUUUGGUCACUUCAAAAUAUGGUUUAAAUGUCUUUUUCGAUAUUUGUGAAUGGAUAAUUGGUAAAUCUAUAUUAACUUCUCACAUUAUUGAAUUAUUGUGAAUAAUUCCAAUUACAAAAAGUAAUUAUUAUCUAGAAUAGGGCUACUAUACUCUUUAUAAUCAUAAGUUUUCGGCCAUUGAAUGAAGGGAUGUGCGGUUAGAAUGAUAGGGGUCACUGAUAAAGAUGAUAGUGAUUUCUUAGGAUUAAGUUGGUGGUUGGUUGAAUAAGAUAAUCUAACGGAUGAAAAUGGUCUAGGGAAUAGAUCUAACGGUCGAAAACUUGUGAGUACAAAAAAAAACUAUACUAAUAAGAGUAUAGUAGCCAGACUUUUAUUAUCUAAAAGUAUGUUACACAAUUAGCUUAAAAGUAUAACUUUUUAAAACUUUAUUUAUGCUCUUCGAUAACUAGGCAAGUUAAUAGCAAUGAACGUGCUAAAAGAUAUUUAUUUUCUAUUUAUAAAUUUAUGGUACCAAACUAUGAUGUGCAGUUCUCAUUAUCUUCAUUUUAGAUGAAAUAUGCAAUCCUAUUAUACAUGCGUUGCAAACUACGCCUAUAUUGUAAGCAUAUAAUUACUAAAAUUUGAAAACUCAAUAAACUUCAUAUGAUGGUUCUUCCUGUAGUUAGUUUAAUCCGUAAUAGAUAUUUCAUAAUCAAAUUUUCAUGAUGAAAAGUAAUUUGUCGAAAUAACAGUGUAGAAAUUGAUGAUAAUUAGAAGAAUGCAACUUAAGAAUAGACAGUAAGGUCAAUAAAUAGUUAAUGAUAAUUUAUUACCUAAGUUUGGUAGAAUACUGGUGGAAUUCAGUAGAUUUAGAGAUAAUAAUUUGUAUCACAACUUUGUAUGACUGGACAAAAGCUGCUGUUGACAUUGUACAUGAUAUUUCAUACAUAUUACUACAUUAAGGUGUGUUGGUUAGUUGUCCGCCACCAAUGUAAUUAGUAUAUAUAUUAUGAACUAGAUAAAGAUUAAAAGAAUAUGUUUCUUAAUUAUAGUUUCAUCACGGUUGUAAAAUAGAAGUUUUUAACAUUCUUUCAGUUCUUCAAGACUAUCUCUUCCUAUAAAUUCUUCAAAUUUAGCAAUCACGUAUUGUGUAAGUAUUGUGAUGGUGGAAUCUAACAGGUAGGGGUGGCAAUCCAGCUCGCUGUUCGCGAGCCAGCUCAUGUUCGGCUCGAAAUGAGCUCGAAUUAGCUCGCUCGUUUAGUAAACGAGCCGAACACGAGCCUGGAUUUUUCAGCUCGUUUAAUAAACGAGCCGAACAUGAGCUGGGUCAGCUCGCUCGUGUUCGACUCGAUAACAGCUCGAAUACAUAUAUUUUAUAUUAUAUAAUUUAUUUAAUUAUAAUUUUAUAUAAAAUAAAUAUUAUAUAUAAUAUAAUAUUUUUAUUAUUUAAUUUUUAGCAAAAUAAAAUAUAUAUGGCGAGCUUAAUUAUAAAAAGACUCAUUUAUAUAUAAAAGUUUUAACUAUUAAAUCAAAGCUAAUGGAUAAGAUUUUAUAAAUU